rnacentral:rRNA from 1 species
UCGAGCGAACAGAUAAGGAGCUUGCUCCUUUGACGUUAGCGGCGGACGGGUGAGUAACACGUGGAUAACCUACCUAUAAGACUGGGAUAACUUCGGGAAACCGGAGCUAAUACCGGAUAACAUAUUGAACCGCAUGGUUCAAUAGUGAAAGGCGGCUUUGCUGUCACUUAUAGAUGGAUCCGCGCCGUAUUAGCUAGUUGGUAAGGUAACGGCUUACCAAGGCAACGAUACGUAGCCGACCUGAGAGGGUGAUCGGCCACACUGGAACUGAGACACGGUCCAGACUCCUACGGGAGGCAGCAGUAGGGAAUCUUCCGCAAUGGGCGAAAGCCUGACGGAGCAACGCCGCGUGAGUGAUGAAGGUCUUCGGAUCGUAAAACUCUGUUAUCAGGGAAGAACAAAUGUGUAAGUAACUGUGCACAUCUUGACGGUACCUGAUCAGAAAGCCACGGCUAACUACGUGCCAGCAGCCGCGGUAAUACGUAGGUGGCAAGCGUUAUCCGGAAUUAUUGGGCGUAAAGCGCGCGUAGGCGGUUUUUUAAGUCUGAUGUGAAAGCCCACGGCUCAACCGUGGAGGGUCAUUGGAAACUGGAAAACUUGAGUGCAGAAGAGGAAAGUGGAAUUCCAUGUGUAGCGGUGAAAUGCGCAGAGAUAUGGAGGAACACCAGUGGCGAAGGCGACUUUCUGGUCUGUAACUGACGCUGAUGUGCGAAAGCGUGGGGAUCAAACAGGAUUAGAUACCCUGGUAGUCCACGCCGUAAACGAUGAGUGCUAAGUGUUAGGGGGUUUCCGCCCCUUAGUGCUGCAGCUAACGCAUUAAGCACUCCGCCUGGGGAGUACGACCGCAAGGUUGAAACUCAAAGGAAUUGACGGGGACCCGCACAAGCGGUG